rnacentral:pre_miRNA from 1 species
UGUAAACAUCCUUGACUGGAAGCUGUAAGGUGCUAGAAGGAGCUUUCAGUCGGAUGUUUACAGC